rnacentral:rRNA from 1 species
GAGGUAAUGGCUCACCAAGGCGACGAUCCGUAACUGGUCUGAGAGGAUGAUCAGUCACACUGUAACUGAGACACGGUCCAGACUCCUACGGGAGGCAGCAGUGGGGAAUAUUGGACAAUGGGCGAAAGCCUGAUCCAGCCAUGCCGCGUGUGUGAAGAAGGUCUUCGGAUUGUAAAGCACUUUAAGUUGGGAGGAAGGGUUGUAGAUUAAUACUCUGCAAUUUUGACGUUACCGACAGAAUAAGCACCGGCUAACUCUGUGCCAGCAGCCGCGGUAAUACAGAGGGUGCAAGCGUUAAUCGGAAUUACUGGGCGUAAAGCGCGCGUAGGUGGUUCGUUAAGUUGGAUGUGAAAUCCCCGGGCUCAACCUGGGAACUGCAUUCAAAACUGACGAGCUAGAGUAUGGUAGAGGGUGGUGGAAUUUCCUGUGUAGCGGUGAAAUGCGUAGAUAUAGGAAGGAACACGA